AUUGAACGCUGGCGGCAGGCCUAACACAUGCAAGUCGAACGAGUGGCGGACUGGUGAGUAAUGUCUUGGAAACUGCCUGAUGGAGGGGGAUAACUACUGGAACCGGUAGCUAAUACCGCAUACCAUCGGAUGUGCCCAGAUGGGAUUAGCUAGUCGGGGGGGUAAAGGCUCACCUAGGCGACGAUCCCUAGCUGGUCUGAGAGGAUGACCGGCCACACUGGAACUGAGACACGGUCCAGACUCCUUCGGGAGGCAGCAGUGGGGAAUAUUGGACAAUGGGCGCAAGCCUGAUGCAGCCACGCCGCGUGUAUGAAGAAGGCCUUCGGGUUGUAAAGUACUUUCAUCGGGGAGGCGUUACCCGCAGAAGAAGCACCGGCUAACUCCGUGCCAGCAGCCGCGGUAAUUC
rnacentral:rRNA from 1 species